ACCCCGUCAGACGAACGCUGGCGGCGUGCUUAACACAUGCAAGUCGAACGAUGAAGCCCUUCGGGGUGGAUUAGUGGCGAACGGGUGAGUAACACGUGGGCAAUCUGCCCUUCACUCUGGGACAAGCCCUGGAAACGGGGUCUAAUACCGGAUAUGACACACGACCGCAUGGUCUGUGUGUGGAAAGCUCCGGCGGUGAAGGAUGAGCCCGCGGCCUAUCAGCUUGUUGGUGGGGUGAUGGCCUACCAAGGCGACGACGGGUAGCCGGCCUGAGAGGGCGACCGGCCACACUGGGACUGAGACACGGCCCAGACUCCUACGGGAGGCAGCAGUGGGGAAUAUUGCACAAUGGGCGAAAGCCUGAUGCAGCGACGCCGCGUGAGGGAUGACGGCCUUCGGGUUGUAAACCUCUUUCAGCAGGGAAGAAGCGAGAGUGACGGUACCUGCAGAAGAAGCGCCGGCUAACUACGUGCCAGCAGCCGCGGUAAUACGUAGGGCGCAAGCGUUGUCCGGAAUUAUUGGGCGUAAAGAGCUCGUAGGCGGCUUGUCACGUCGGAUGUGAAAGCCCGGGGCUUAACCCCGGGUCUGCAUUCGAUACGGGCAGGCUAGAGUUCGGUAGGGGAGAUCGGAAUUCCUGGUGUAGCGGUGAAAUGCGCAGAUAUCAGGAGGAACACCGGUGGCGAAGGCGGAUCUCUGGGCCGAUACUGACGCUGAGGAGCGAAAGCGUGGGGAGCGAACAGGAUUAGAUACCCUGGUAGUCCACGCCGUAAACGUUGGGAACUAGGUGUGGGCGACAUUCCACGUCGUCCGUGCCGCAGCUAACGCAUUAAGUCCCCGCCUAUG
rnacentral:rRNA from 1 species